UACGUAGGGGGCUAGCGUUGUCCGGAAUCAUUGGGCGUAAAGCGCGCGUAGGCGGAUCUUUAAGUCAGAGGUGAAAUCCCAAGGCUCAACCUUGGAACUGCCUUUGAUACUGGGGAUCUCGAGUCCGGAAGAGGUGAGUGGAACUGCGAGUGUAGAGGUGAAAUUCGUAGAUAUUCGCAAGAACACCAGUGGCGAAGGCGGCUCACUGGUCCGGUACUGACGCUGAGGUGCGAAAGCGUGGGGAGCAAACAGG
rnacentral:rRNA from 1 species